UACGGAGGGGGCUAGCGUUGUCCGGAAUUAUUGGGCGUAAAGAGCUCGUAGGCGGUCUGUCGCGUCUGCUGUGAAAACUCAGGGCUUAACCCUGAGCUUGCAGUGGGUACGGGCAGACUAGAGUGCGGUAGGGGAGAUUGGAAUUCCUGGUGUAGCGGUGGAAUGCGCAGAUAUCAGGAGGAACACCAAUGGCGAAGGCAGAUCUCUGGGCCGUAACUGACGCUGAGGAGCGAAAGCAUGGGGAGCGAACAGG
rnacentral:rRNA from 1 species